rnacentral:rRNA from 1 species
UACGUAGGGUGCGAGCGUUAAUCGGAAUUACUGGGCGUAAAGGGUGCGCAGGCGGCCAUGUGUGUGAGGCGUGAAAGCCCGGGGCUUAACCCCGGAAUUGCACCUCAAACUACAUGGCUAGAGCAUUGGAGAGGGUAGCAGAAUUCAUGGUGUAGCAGUGAAAUGCGCAGAUAUCAGGAGGAACACCGGUGGCGAAGGCGGGUCUCUGGACAGUUCCUGACGCUGAGGCACGAAGGCCAGGGGAGCAAACGGG